GAACUGUUAGCUCAGUUGGUUUAGAGCGCCGCCUUGACAGGGCGGAGGUCGCCGGUUCGACCCCGGCACAGUUCA
rnacentral:tRNA from 1 species